CUACGGGGCGCUCCAGUGAGGAAUAUUGGUCAAUGGGCGAGAGCCUGAACCAGCCAAGUCGCGUGAAGGAAGAAUGUCCUAUGGAUUGUAAACUUCUUUUAUACGGGAAUAAAAAGGGCGACGAGUCGCCCGUUGCAUGUACCGUAUGAAUAAGGAUCGGCUAACUCCGUGCCAGCAGCCGCGGUAAUACGGAGGAUCCGAGCGUUAUCCGGAUUUAUUGGGUUUAAAGGGUGCGUAGGCGGUUCCUUAAGUCAGCGUUGAAAGUUUGCGGCUCAACCGUAAAACCGGCAUUGAAACUGAGGGACUAGAGUGUAAAUGAAGUGGGCGGAAUUCGUUGUGGAGCGGUGAAAUGCAUAGAUAUAACGAAGAACUCCGAUUGCGAAGGCAGCUCACUAACAUACAACUGACGCUGAGGCACGAAAGCGUGGGGAUCAAGCAGGAUUAGAUACCCCGGUAGUC
rnacentral:rRNA from 1 species